CACACACACACGCACACGGUCAGGAGAGGAGGAGAGGUUGGACUUUUAGUGUAAGAAUAAAUCAUUUUAAUAUUAAUAAAUCACAUAUGUGUAUGAGAGAACAUUUUCCUCCUAUUACUGUGCCUGUUUGAAAAAUAAAUAAAUGUUUGUUUGUUUUUUUCAGCCUGAGAUAUGAGAGAGGCGUGACAAGUGGCACCUGAGAAAGGAAGGAAAUGAUAUAUGUGUGACUUUGUGCAGCUGAAAAGUGUUCGCAGUCAGUCAGAACCCAAAAGUGUCAAGGACAUCAGUUGAACAUGAACAUGUGUUCACUAUUGAUGCUGUUUGUUGUGUUGUGCCAUGGAAGACUAUUAUUCAGCAAAACAGAGACUAAAGUGAUUGAAGCAACAGAAGGACACAAUUUUACAGCCCAAUGUUUACUUUAUUUCAAUGGAAACAAAAAAAUCUUCUGUCAAAAUGACUGUAAAGGGAAAGAAGACACUUUGGUUGAGACUGCAAACAACCGACUGCAGAAUGGAAGAUACGGCAUUGAAGUUAUCAAAGGAUCUCACACGCAAUUACUACAAUUAAAUGUGAUCAUCACAAACGUGAGAAGAUCUGAUGCUGGGUCAUACACAUGUGGUCUGGAACAUGGAGAGAUUUCAACAUUUAUAUUAAAAGUCAUCAGUGAUUCAUACAGAAGACUUCAAAUGUAUGAUGCAAAAUGUAUGGAAUUAUCAAACAAAGAAACAAAAGUGAAAUAACUCAACUAAAUAUUUGUAUAUUUUAUAUUCAAAUUCCUCAAAGUAACCACCCUUUGCUUUGUUGACAGAGCUGCAAACUCUUGGCCUUUUCCCAGUAACAGAGAAAUAAAGUUACUUGAAAUGUUUUUUACUUCACAGGUGAACCAGGGUCAGGGUCAAGGAACACCAAUUGUCAAAAGCUGUGAUAAAAGCAAAGGUGGAAACCCCAACACCAGGUUUGACCCUCGGAGCUGCUCCCACCACAUCCCUCCAUAAUGUGACACCAGCACAGACGACACAAAGGACACAAGAAGCAUCUGAAGUGACGAGCUCACAGCAACCUCAGGAGGAGCACAACUCAUCCACACUGUCUGUUGUGCUGCAGUAUGUUGCUGUGAGUGUAACCACCAUUCUGAUUAUUGUAUCAGGGAGUAUUUUUGAUUUGGUGCUGGAAAAAGAAAACCAAUAGACCAACAGAAGAUCCAACUGCUGCUGAUGACUGUGAAAUUCCAGAGAUGAGCAGACUGUAUGAGGAGAUCCCAGCUCAGAUCACACCAGGUCCUGUGGAAAACUGUACUUCUUUUUCUUCCUCCCACCAGAAAACCACACAGACGGUCUAUAUCUUGGCCUCCAGUGCACAAGAACAGGGUAAGAAACUGAAGUGUUACCCACAACACUAAAGUGUAUUUCACAGAUCAGACUACUUACUGUAUUUUUUCAGACUAUAAAUUGCUCUGGAAUGUAAGUCACACCAGCUAAAAAAUGCGUAAUGAAGAAGAAGAAAAAAAAAAAACAUAUAAGUUGCACUUUUUUGGGGAAAUUUAUUUAAUGAAAUCAGAGACCAGGAACCGAUAUUUCAUCUUGAAAGCCAAGUUGUAGUAAUAACAACAGAACAGAGAACAACAGACUGUUAACGUCACAUAUGAACAGUUCUUCACAUAAACUAUAACAUAAACAACAGAACAGAACAAGUUUACCAAACUCUCCAUCUCACUCCAAAUCACUAAAUCCAUUUAAUUCUUCAUCCUCGGUGUCACUUCUGAACAACUCUGUGACCUCUGGAGGUAAACAGAGCGUCGCUUCCUCUUCUGUGUCGCUGUCGUCAGACUCAGCAUCAGUUCCAGUUAGAAUUAUUCGGGUCUUUCUGAAUCCCGACAGGAUGGUUUCAGUGUCACUGAAGUUCAGACAUUGUCCAUCCAUCCAGUGACUUGAGGAAAGUUUCAUGUUACAUCCUCCCGGUGUCACAAGUUUCUUACUGACUCCAAACUUUCUUUCUGCUGCUCAAUUGCCAUUUUUGGCUGCAGAUUUUGCUACUUGCAGUUUGUAAUCUGCAAAAUAUGAUUUUCUUUUUGGGGGCAUUUGUGUUCAGUUUUCUCAGUCGUCUUUUUGUUUAAAUGUUAAAUUGUUCAGUGGUGCAGAAGUAAUGGUGUGAUCGACUGACAUGAUACAGACAGAACAGAGGCUCUUUCUGCAGGAGACAUGUGCAGUAGAGUGAAGUGACAGUGGUACAGGAGGAACAGGAGCAGCAGAUACUCACACACAAGACUAGAACCUCUUGCAACUGUCAGUAUGAAAAUAUUCAUUUAUAAGUCGCACCGGAGUAUAAAUUGCAGGACCACCCAAACCAUGAAAAGAGUGAGCUUACUGUACAGUCCGAAAAAUAUGGUAUUUAUUUCAUAGCUGUU